UUAGAACUCGGUGCUCUUGCGAUUCAAUUGCUGCAAAUUGCAAAGACAGCCUCCCUGACUCACACACAGCUCGGAGUUUUUGGUACCUUCCUCCCAGAACCCUUCAACCCACCAUCCAAAGCCCAAUGUUCGUCUUAAACCCCUGCACCCCUUCCGUCCAAUUGCUCCACCUUUCACCACCCCAAACAUUAUCCCAUCAACCUAAUGACUGCCCGCCAUUUUUAACAGCUGGAGUUCCACGUCAAUACCAUUUCCACAAGAGGAAUUUUGCACUCUUCACUAAGGCGACCGAAAACUAUGGGCUCGAAACGAAUAACCUGCAAGACAAUGAUGCAGACAACUAUUAUGAGAAUGAUGACGAUGAUGAUGAUGAUGGUGGGGAUGAGGGUCAGUUUUCGAGUGGAAGAGGCUUUAGAGGGAGAGAAGAGGAGAAAGAUUAUGAUAGAGACCCUGAGUUUGCUGAGAUUCUUGGGAGUUUUCUUGAUAACCCAGAUAAAGCUAGGUCUAAAAUGGAGGACAGAUUGAGAAAGAAAAGAAACAGAAUAUUACAUACAAAAACUGGUUCAGCAGCCCCCAUGAAAGUGGUAUUCAACAAAUUUGAGUUCUCAAAUUCAUAUAUAUGGUUUGAGUUCUAUAAUGCCCUUCUGGAGAAAGAUGUUUCCUUGAUAUGUGAUACUAUUCGGUCAUGGCACAUUGUUGGACGACUGGGAGGAUGCAAUUCAAUGAAUAUGCAACUGUCACAAUCUGCUUCGGAUAAAAGACCAAGUUAUGAUGCCGUUCAGGGAGCCAACGUCACACCAACCACAUUUUAUAACAUCGGAGAUCUUGAGAUUCAAGAUAACAUAGCCCGUAUAUGACAUUGGGACUAGCGAACCAUUGCUUCUGGAUGUUUUGAUUAAUGCUUUGACACAGAUAAGCUCUGACUACGUCGGGAUCAAGCAAGUGGUGUUCGGCGGGUCUGAAUUCGAGAAUUGGAGAGAAAACUUGACAUCAGAGGAUGCAGGGUUCAGCGUACACAAAAUUUGAGCAGCGACACUCUUGCCUUGCACAAUUUCCGAUAUUUCUCAGCCUAGUGAAGAAAUGAACUGGGUCCCAGAUGACAGAUUAAAAAUGGUUUCCUGGAUUUGAGAUUGCUUUUGAAGGAUAUAUUUCAGCUGAACUCGAUGAAUGCAUGUCAAGGUGGAAAAGCAAGUGAAUUUGAUGAACCGCUUGUCAUGGCAGCUAAUUUGCGUUCCUCAUUCUUAUUGAUGAAUCACUGGGAACAUACCAAGCGAGUUUCAACGGGGGAUGAUGGGAGCAAGAUGACAAAAACUAGAAGCCACAAAUUGAAAGCUGUAUUUCAACAAUUUUUCUUAAAAGAAAAUGUUUUCUUACUUAUUUACUUCUCACCUGCAGUGAAGCCCAGAAGUUCAUAUUGCAACCAGACUACAAUUAGUUGCGGGCCCAUGCCAUUCAUGUGCUUGAUUAGCUAAUUUGGCAUGUACAAACUCGCAACACAUUUGUUUUUCCAAGUGAAAUGUCUCACUAAUAAAACUUGGAUAUGA